rnacentral:rRNA from 1 species
UUCGGGCUUUAUUUGCGCAGGAUAGGUGGGAGGCUUUGAGAGUGUUUUUGAGGGAACAUUUGAGCCAUUGGUGAGAUACCACUCUUAUAAAGCUAGAAUUCUAACCUUAUACCGUUAGCCGGUUAAGGAACAGUCUCUGGUGGGCAGUUUGACUGGGGCGGUCGCCUCCUAAAAGGUAACGGAGGCGCACAAAGGUUUCCUCAGAUCGGUCAGAAAUCGAUCGUAGAGCGUAAAGGCAUAAGGAAGCUUGACUGCGAGACCUACAAGUCGAGCAGAGACGAAAGUCGGUCUUAGUGGUCUGACGGUUCCGAGUGGAAGGGCCGUCACUCAACGGAUAAAAGUUACUCUAGGGAUAACA